rnacentral:tRNA from 1 species
GGCCAAAUAGUCUAGUGGUAUGAUUCUCGCUUUGGGUGCGAGAGGUCCCGGGUUCGGUUUGGCCC